GGUAGUGUAGUGUAGUGGUUUGAGCACUAGACUGGGACUCUGGACACCAGGGUUUGAAUCCCCACUCAGACA